GGCCGCAGUAUAUUAACUGUGCAAAGGUAGCAUAAUCAUUAGUCUUUUAAUUGAAGGCUGGUAUGAAUGGUUGGACAAGAUAUUAACUGUUUCAUAUAAAUUUAUAAUAGAAUUUUAUUUUUUAGUUAAAAAGCUAAAAUAUAUUUAAAAGACGAGAAGACCCUAUAAAUCUUUAUAUUUAUAUUAUAAUAAUUUUUUGGAAAUAUUUAAUUAUUAUAAUUUAUAAUAUUUUAUUGGGGUGAUAUUAAAAUUUAAUAAACUUUUAAUUAUUUUUUUUUCAUUAAUUUAUGAAUAAUUGAUCCGUUAUUAACGAUUAAAAAAAUAAGUUACUUUAGGGAUAACAGCGUAAUUUUUUUGGAGAGUUCAUAUUAAUAAAAAAGAUUGCGACCUCGAUGUUGGAUU
rnacentral:rRNA from 1 species